AACAUUUGAUCUGAAAUGUAAAAUGUUGGAGUUUAGAGCCACAUUUAAAAUGUUAUCUUCACUGUCAAAAUAGAUAUGGUGUGGACUGUAUACUCAAUACAAUCUAAAUCUGAUACCUCACUGUCUGUCUUUUGACUGAUACUGCUUUUAAACUGGUCUGGUCAGUCUACUCAAAUAUUUGAUAAUAUGCAUCUUUCUAUCUACAAGCAAUACUUGGAAAAUGUGUCAUUUAUAAUAAUGAAACAUUUCUGAAUAGAUAUGUCAGGUUUCAGGACACUGAUAUUUCUGAAUAUGUUGAAAAAAUAUACUGCCACUAUUUUCACCACCAAAGAAUAGCAGUGUGAUUUUAAUAUGAUUUGACUCUUUGCAGGCUGUCAGGCUGUCUAGUCACAGAGGAAGGCUGUGCUUCUCUGGUCUCAGCUCUGAGGUCAAACCCCUCACACCUGAGAGAGCUGGACCUGAGCUACAAUCACCCAGGAGACUCAGGAGUCAGACUGCUCUCUGCUGGACUGGAGGAUCCACACUGCAGACUGGAGAAACUCAAUGUGGAACAUGGUGGAGAGAACAGAAUGAAACCUGGACUUAGAAAAUAUGUCUGUGAUCUCACACUGGACCUAAACACAGUAAACAGACACCUCUCUCUGUCUGAGGAGAACAGAAAGGUGACAUGUAGGAGAGAGAAGCAGCCGUAUCCUGAUCACCCAGAGAGAUUUGAGGACUGGAGACAGGUGCUGUGUGGAGAGGGUUUGACUGGGCGCUGUUACUGGGAGGUAGAGUGGAGUGGGAGAGGGGAGGUUGAGUGGAGUGGGGGGGCUGUUAUAGGAGUGACAUAUAAAGGAAUCAACAGGAGAGGAGUGGUUAAGUACUGUUGUCUUGGAUCCAAUGACAAGUCCUGGAGUCUGUUCUGCUAUGACAACAGUUACUCUGCCUGUCACAAUAAUAACUCCACUACCAUAGACGUCCCCUCCUCCAGCUCCCACAGAGUAGGAGUGUAUCUGGACUGGUCAGCCGGCACUCUGUCCUUCUAUAGAGCCUCCUCUGACACACUGACCCACCUGAUCACAUUCACCUCCACAUUCACUGAGCCCCUCUAUCCAGGGUUUUGGGUUUAUUCUGUUGGCUCUUCAGUG